GACGAACGCUGGCGGCGUGCCUAAUACAUGCAAGUAGAACGCACAGUUUAUACCGUAGCUUGCUACACCAUAGACUGUGAGUUGCGAACGGGUGAGUAACGCGUAGGUAACCUGUCUGGUAGCGUGGGAUAACUAUUGGAAACGCUAGCUAAUACCUCAUACUAUUAAUUAUUGCAUGAUAAUUGAUUGAAAGAUGCAACUGCAUCACUACUAGUUAGACUUUCGUUGUAUUAGCUAGUAGGUGAGGUAACGGCUCACCUAGGCGACGAUACAUAGCCGACCGGCGAGGACGAUCGGCCACCCUGGGACUGAGACACGGCCCAGACGCCUUCGGGAGGCAGCAGGAGGGAAACUUCGGGAAGGGAUGGAAGACUGAGCGAGAAACGCCGAGGCAUGGAAGAAGGGUGUCGGAUCGUAAAGCUCGGUUGUCAGAGAAGAACGGGUGUGAGAGUGGAAAGUACACACUGUGACGGUAACUGACCAGAAAGGGACGGCUAACUACGUG
rnacentral:rRNA from 1 species